rnacentral:rRNA from 1 species
GAACAAGUAGAGUGAUCGAAAGAUGAAAAGCACUUUGAAAAGAGGGUUAAAUAGUACGUGAAAUUGUUGAAAGGGAAGGGCUUGUGACCAGACCUUUGCCUUGCGGAUCAUCCGGUGUUCUCACCGGUGCACUUCGCUUGGUUGAGGCCAGCAUCAGUUUCGGCGGCGGGAUAAAGACUUCAGGAACGUGACUCCUCCGGGAGUGUUAUAGCCUGCUGUGUAAUACCGCCGCCGGGACUGAGGACCGCGCUUCGGCUAGGAUGCUGGCAUAAUGGUCAUCAGCCACCCRUCUUGAAACACRGACCAAGA